rnacentral:rRNA from 1 species
AUACGGAGGGUGCGAGCGUUACUCGGAGUCACUGGGCGUAAAGCGUCCGUAGGCGGUCGGGUAAGUCGGGUGUGAAAGCCCCGGGCUCAACCUGGGAAGUGCACCCAAUACUGCUCGACUCGAGUGCGGGAGAGGAUGGCGGAAUUCCCGGUGUAGCGGUGAAAUGCGUAGAGAUCGGGAGGAACACCAGUGGCGAAGGCGGCCAUCUGGCCCGCAACUGACGCUGAGGGACGAAAGCGUGGGGAGCAAACAGGAUUAGAUACCCGAGUAGUCC